rnacentral:lncRNA from 1 species
UGGGUACACCUCUGGUUGUGCUUGGAUGUUAGUUGAGGUGAAACCUGGAGGAUAAACAAGGUCAUCGUGAUCCUCCCCAGCAUCAACUACGGGGUCUUUUCCUUUGUUAUUCCCUCCAGCCAAUAACUGCUUUAAUUGAUUCAUCACAGUGUUCUGGGAUUCUAACAUGUCCUGCUGGAUUUUUUCCAGUCGUUCAUGCAUCUGAUCUUGCAUCUCUCGUUGCAACUGUUCCAAUCUUUCCAACCUUUGAUCCAUUGCUUUUGUUUGGCG